ensembl:lncRNA
CAGGGACAUGUCAUGGAGGGGAGAGGGAGGGCUCUGAGUACAUACAGUUUCAGCAAGGACAGGGCAGUGCUUGUGGACACAGUCUUAAAGUGGAGGUUGGUAGUCACUGGAUGUUUCUCAGCAAGCUGGUGAUGGAACCACUCCUGUUUCAGUGAGAUUAGCUUUAUAACUGUGUUCACAGCGUAGGAGGUGGUGAGGAGAAAACCAGAGACGGGGCCCAUGAUUGGAAGGUUAUUAUAGGAAAAGGAGAUAAGAUUUUGAAAACUUGGGAGCGUUAUGAAGGGGCAGAUGUGGUUGACUCUACUAGGAAAGAGUUGACGAGGACAGGGUGACUGUUUGUUUGGAUGUAAAAAGCAAUGGAAGGAGUCAUAGAUAAUGGACUUUUUGAGCCCAAGUAGCCAUUGAACUUAUCCUAUGUUAUAUAUAUUUUUGAGCUUAUUUUAAUGACAGUGUCGUUCUGUGAGUUGAGGCUUCUUGGGUAGAACUGGAGGAUCGCCUUAGAUUAGGAUAAGCCCCCUUUGAGUAACUGAGUAUUGUCUUGACCCCGACUUUAUCACGUCUCUCUUCCUUUGCUGCCCUGCCCUCCCCAAGGUCUUAGAUCAGUUCUUAAAUCAGCAGCAAAGUCAUCAGGUUACAAUUUCAUCUCCAUUCUGGCCCUCUGGUGGAGAUAAAAUGGCUUAAACAUGAGCGAGAAAGUAGAAUUUAAUGUUGGGGCAUCUAGUUGCUGAUGAGAGAGGCCUUGUGGUCCAUGCUCAGAACCGUGUCUCUCUUUCCUGCUGGUUUGCCUCAUUACCAGACACGAGCUCCCACGGCUCUGGGAGGUGCGUGGUAACAUUUUGCUGGUCGGUCAAAUUUUUGUAAGCUGACAAUUCAUCUGAGCUUCACCAGGUCACUGCACACCAUUUUCUCUUUUUUGGUCUAACAGGAGAGUGCCAGUUUUGAUUUGAAGGAAAGGAGAAAGGAGGCUGUUUGAUGGGAGAGAGGAGGAACACUUUGCAUUCCUCUUUUACUUCCUGGGACUCGUCCUGUCACAUUUCAUAGGCUCCUGUCUCUAAUGGUAGAGGACAGUCUAAUGAGAGGAGCAAAGUGCGUGAACUGCACACAAUUUAAACUCAGCUCCCACGAACCAGGCUGGGCGCCAGAUUCCUGGGACUCAGGCAUUCAUCAGCCCCAGUCUCUUUUCCUUGAAUGUAGUCUGGAGAGAUGCUUGCAGGGGAGAAGAAAACUCCUCUUUGCCUUUAUUCUCUGCUUUCCACAUGGGUCUUGCAAAGCAGGCAUCUCCAGCCAGGGAUGCAGAAAGUGUGAGAGAGGAGGAGGCCUUCAGGUUGCCAUCCCUCUUCCUGGAAGGCCCUUGACCUUCCUGAUGCUUCCCGUGCUAGGUAGACCCUCCUGCUUGCUCUUGUUGACAUCUGUACUGCCUCUCUAUGAAAGCUUUGCCCCUUCUUCAAACUUCAAGGGUCCCAAUUGACAUGAAGAUAGCUGGCAUUCCUCCUCAUUUCAAGUGCUCUUGCCAACCCAUAAAAUCACCAGUUUGUUGGAUUGAUUCUUAAGUAAUAUUCAUUUGAUAUAACAAGAUGGUCAGAAGCCUAGAAUAUGUCUGGGGUGGGGGAGGGUGCACAUUUAGACAGAAAGGCUGAACUACGUAUAGAUUAUGAUGUAUUGUGUUUCAGGGAGAAGGUGGAGGUAAGCUUUGCUCCCCAUCUUGCAGAGUUUCACUCGUUACUAGAAGAUUGUCAACGUCUCAAGUUUCCAGUGAUAUCUAUGUUCUUUUGAUGUACUUUGCAGAGAAACUCAAGCAGGAACAGGCUUCAGAAUAAGCUAACUAAAGCAUCGCGGGCUUUUGAUCACUUUCCAUUAGCACGAACAAUAAUCUCUGUCCUGGCAGAUUUUGUUUGAAAGGGCGUUCACUGUUGAAUGAAGAUAAACAUGUUGCUGGGUAUUUAAGACAUCUUCUCAAUGCAGGGACUGAAAAAUUCAUACAUGAGAUUAGCUCUGUUGCCAGAAAGGGGAUUCUCAAUGGCCCAAACAUUUCCCUAGCCAUUGGCGGAACUUUGGAAAUGUGCUUUGCUAAAAAGAACAGAUACUGAACAGAUAUGUCACUUACAAAGCCUUCUGUUUCAGCGGUGAGUCCCAGGGGCCUCUUAACCACAUCGUUGCUAUGCAAUAUUUGGUCAAAGGAGAUCUACGUUUAAGGAGGACAUGUGAUCACAGCCACUGACAAAUUCCUAGAAGGUGAUGCUGGCUGUUCGUUGUUCUUUAGGUGGUGGCAGUGGGGUGCAGGAGAACCUGAGCCACUCUUUCGGUCACUGUUGUAAUGCAUAUUCUUCUGUUGCUACUGACUUGGGCUUUGACUCUCUGACUUGCAGGAGGGAGGCCAUAACUGCUCUUCCUGGUGUCUGAAAACCUACAGGCAGAAGUUUGAGCAAGCAGAUCACAGGCUCAGCCAGAGACGGUGCUCGGCCCAUUCUGUUGCUCUUUGCUUACUGACAUAUUGGGGAAAAAAUAGGGCUUGUAUUCUAAAGUUGUUUCUGUCUUAAAAGAGAGCGCCUUUUAAAUGUUUAGAACUUGGGAGCACUUUUUUUUUUUUAAUAAACUUAGUAUUUGCAGAAUGGUGUCCAUGGAGUACAGUUUCCUAAUUGAGAGAGAACAGUAAACAAAGGCAUUGCUUCCGUUUUCAUUUACAGUGCGUUCCUUCCCGCGAAGUUGAGGGUGUGGGGACCGGAUUGGAGACCAUCCUUUCCUCACAUCCAGCUGUCUCCUGGUUGUGUGAUCAUCGUAGAUGCCACGGCUCCACAGUAUCAGAGGCACUGGCGUUUUGUGCAGGAGUUAUUUAGGGACACGCAAACCAGUGGGGCUUUCUGAGGAAGGGAGGCUGUGUAUAAAAACUCUGGGGGACCCUUUCCUAACAGCCCUGGGUGGCAGAGCUGCUGAGGAGCCGGCUUGGAGGGUGAGAGCAUCCCUGUCUCUGUGAGGCCCCGGGGAGAGGCGGGCUCGUGUGUUGUGCUGCCAGCUCACACCUGGCUGCCUCGGGGCGUCCCGUCCUGUAAUUAGACCCACCCUGGAGUCUGCCCGGAGAUGAGAGGGACCCGGUGCGGAGAAAGGUGGUGGGGCGAGGCCGCAGCCACACUCCGAGCCGCGCAGGUGCAGGGGGCCGGCCGGCCGCGUGGGCCACCCCUCUGUCGGUGGAUUAACGGCUCGGGCAGCGCGGCUGCCUGAGACUGACCCUGUCACUUCCCGCUGCUGCUCCCCCUCAGAGGCGAUCUUGUUCGCUCCAGGCCUCCCCGGCCUCACAUCUCGUAUUCCCGCUCCCUAGAAACCACCUUUGCAAGCGGGUCUAUCAGUUUGAACUUCCGAGAUCACGAGAUGGCAGUCUGGAGAAGAAAGGGCGUGGCCCAGGCUCUCUUUGUGGCUGGGAUGGUUCUGGGAGAGAAAGGGAAGUUUGGAGACACCCCAACAACGGAGAUGGAGCAGCCUGCAGGGUAGCGCCUGUUUGAAGUCUGAAAUCGGGCUGAUUUGAUUCGCAUGCGGAUGCCCCCUAGUGGCCAGCACGGUGCCCUUGAAGAAAGCCCGUCCCCACGGCCACUGCCUCCCAUCCCCCAGGAAACACCUACUCCCCAGGAGCUGAGUACGUGCCACAUCACGUCUGUAUUUCCUUACUAUGCUUUGUCUACCAGGUAGGAAAAAAUCCAAAGCUUUAUUACAGAGCAGAGCAAACUAGUGCUGCUGUUCCACCAAAUGAGAACUCUUACAUCUGUAGCACACUUGUGUUAUAAUCUACUUGGAGGCGAUAGAAAACUCUUUAAAGUUUUGAUGUGAAUACUUUUGCAAUGUGUUACAGGAGAGUUAUAAUGUUGGC